GGCCAGGUAUAGUGGUAACACCUUUGCUAAACAUAUAUGUGAAAGACCCUGGGUUCAAUUCCCAGUCUGGCCA